UUUUGGCCUGAAAUCAGAUGGGACUACCCGCUGAACUUAAGCAUAUCAAUAAGCGGAGGA
rnacentral:rRNA from 7 species